GUGGGGAAUUUUGGACAAUGGGCGCAAGCCUGAUCCAGCCAUGCCGCGUGAGUGAAGAAGGCCUUCGGGUUGUAAAGCUCUUUCAGCCGGAAAGAAAUCGCACUGGUUAAUACCUUGUGUGGAUGACGGUACCGGAAGAAGAAGCACCGGCUAACUACGUGCCAGCAGCCGCGGUAAUACGUAGGGUGCGAGCGUUAAUCGGAAUUACUGGGCGUAAAGCGUGCGCAGGCGGUUUUGUAAGACAGAUGUGAAAUCCCCGGGCUUAACCUGGGAACUGCAUUUGUGACUGCAAGGCUAGAGUAUGGCAGAGGGGGGUAGAAUUCCACGUGUAGCAGUGAAAUGCGUAGAUAUGUGGAGGAAUACCGAUGGCGAAGGCAGCCCCCUGGGUCAAUACUGACGCUCAUGCACGAAAGCGUGGGGAGCAAACAGGAUUAGAAACCCCGGUAGUCC
rnacentral:rRNA from 1 species